AUUGAACGCUGGCGGCAUGCCUUACACAUGCAAGUCGAACGGCAGCGGGGACUUCGGUCCGCCGGCGAGUGGCGAACGGGUGAGUAACGUAUCGGAACGUACCUUUCAGUGGGGGAUAACGUAGCGAAAGUUACGCUAAUACCGCAUAUUCUGUGAGCAGGAAAGCAGGGGAUCGCAGGACCUUGCGCUGAUUGAGCGGCCGAUAUCAGAUUAGCUAGUUGGUGGGGUAAUGGCUCACCAAGGCGACGAUCUGUAGCGGGUCUGAGAGGAUGGUCCGCCACACUGGAACGGAGAGACGGUCCAGACUCGUACGGGAGGCAGCAGUGGGGAAUUGUGGACAAUGGGGGCAACCCUGAUCCAGCCAUGCCGCGUGAGUGAAGAAGGCCUUCGGGUUGUAAAGCUCUUUCGGCCGAGAAGAAAUCGUACGGGUUAAUACCCUGUGCGGAUGACGGUACCGGCAUAAGAAGCACCGGCUAACUACGUGCCAGCAGCCGCGGUAAGAC
rnacentral:rRNA from 1 species